CCGGCGAUAGCUCAGCUGGAAGAGCGCAAGACUGUAAUAGGAAGCCUCCAAUUGUCAUCUUGAUGUCCUCGGUUCGAUCCCGAGUCGCCGGA